rnacentral:rRNA from 1 species
AUGGCCAACAGGUGGUGGGACGAAGGGCGGCUGACGGAGGCGCCGGCAGCUGCAUCAGGCCUCGCCAGCGACCAGAACCGGCAGCAGCUGGAGGACGCCAUGGCGGUGCCCAAGGUGGACGGGGAGAGCAGCCACAGCGGCGGAGGGAGCGGGCAGGACGACGAGCACGAGCCCAAGGAGGGCGCGGUGGUGGUGCCGGCGAACCGGCGCCCGCGCGGCCGCCCGGCGGGGUCCAAGAACAAGCCCAAGCCGCCCAUCUUCGUCACGCGGGACAGCCCCAACGCGCUGCGCAGCCACGUCAUGGAGGUGGCCAGCGGCGCGGACGUCGCCGAGGCCAUCGCGCACUUCUCCCGCCGCAGGCAGCGCGGCGUCUGCGUGCUCAGCGGGGCCGGCGCCGUCGCCGACGUCGCCCUGCGCCAGCCCGCCGCGCCCGGGGCCGUCGUCGCGCUCCGCGGCCGCUUCGAGAUACUCUCCCUCUCCGGCACCUUCCUCCCCGGGCCCUCGCCGCCGGGGUCCACCGGGCUCACCGUGUACCUCGCCGGCGGGCAGGGGCAGGUGGUCGGGGGCAGCGUGGUGGGCGCGCUCACCGCCGCGGGGCCCGUCAUGGUGAUCGCCUCCACCUUCGCCAACGCCACCUACGAGCGGCUGCCGCUGGACGACGCCGAGGAGGACCACCAGCUGGAGGCCGCCCGCAUGCACGGAGCCUCCGGCGGUGGUGUCCCUCAGAUGAUGGCCGGCGACCCCUCCGCGGCGGGGAUGCCGAUGUACGGCGUGCCGCCGAACCUGAUGCCGGGAGGCGGUGGGCAUGCGGCGCCGGAAUGGGCGGCGCAUGCACGGCCGCCCUACUAG